rnacentral:rRNA from 1 species
GACGGCGGAUGCAAGUGUUAUCCGGAAUCACUGGGCGUAAAGCGUCUGUAGGUGGUUAAAUAAGUCAACUGUUAAAUCUUGAGGCUCAACCUCAAAAUCGCAGUCGAAACUAUUUGACUAGAGUAUAGUAGGGGUAAAGGGAAUUUCCAGUGGAGCGGUGAAAUGCGUAGAGAUUGGAAAGAACACCGAUGGCGAAGGCACUUUACUGGGCUAUUACUAACACUGAGAGACGAAAGCUAGGGUAGCAAAUGGG